GGAUGCACUGGAUUCUCCAUCACUUGAAGUCUUUACCUGUUGAUUUGAUAUAUUCCUAAAAAUAUAUCUAUAUAUGCUGUAGCUCAAACAGAACUUAUGGGCUUCAUGCUGAACUUACAAGGUGAGAUGACCUGAAUUAACACAGGCCAUGACAGCUUAGAGGAUCAUAACCAUAAAAAGAAACAAUCACAAUCCCUUCUAAU